rnacentral:miRNA from 1 species
UUUAACGCGGAUAGAUGAAUU